AAGGCUUUAGCUUAAUGAAAGUGUCUGGUUUGCAUUCAGAAGAUACAGGUUAAUGUCCUGUUAGCCUUA
ensembl:Mt_tRNA